rnacentral:rRNA from 1 species
CCUACGGGAGGCAGCAGUGAGGAAUAUUGGUCAAUGGACGAGAGUCUGAACCAGCCAAGUAGCGUGAAGGAUGACUGCCCUAUGGGUUGUAAACUUCUUUUAUAUGGGAAUAAAAUGUUCCACGUGUGGGAUUUUGUAUGUACCAUAUGAAUAAGGAUCGGCUAACUCCGUGCCAGCAGCCGCGGUAAUACGGAGGAUCCGAGCGUUAUCCGGAUUUAUUGGGUUUAAAGGGAGCGUAGGUGGAUUGUUAAGUCAGUUGUGAAAGUUUGCGGCUCAACCGUAAAAUUGCAGUUGAAACUGGCAGUCUUGAGUACAGGAGAGGUGGGCGGAAUUCGUGGUGUAGCGGUGAAAUGCUGAGAUAUCACGAAGAACUCCGAUUGCGAAGGCAGUUCACUGGACUGCAACUGACACUGAGGCUCGAAAGUGUGGGUAUCAAACAGGAUUAGAUACCCCAGUAGUC